rnacentral:tRNA from 1 species
CAAAAAGAUAAGCUAAAUAAGCUAAUGGGCUCAUAUCCCAACUAUAAAGGUUAUAAUCCUUUUCUUUUU